AGCUGUUCCCCUCUGGAGGUUUAUUGACCUUCAUAACUUAUAUGGGCCCUGGAGCAAUCCGGUGGCCCUUUUUUUUGCCCGGU
rnacentral:misc_RNA from 1 species